CAUCUAAUCCUAACAUUCAAUCUAAAUUGUGCAACUGACGUUUUUGAAGAAAAGAUGAGAGAUGGCAACGACAACAGAUUAUUGCAUCCAUAUGUCCCUCCUCUCCUUCGAAACCCGAACCCAAACCCACAUUAUGUCUUUGUCACUACUGUCUUUCGUUCUACCCAUUCCGAACAUUCGAGAUGGGUGGACUGGAUGGACCAAACAGAUAUUUUGUGGUUUUGGUUUUGCCAGACGGACUUAUGCGCCAACAGCCACAAAAACAUCAAAAGAAAAAGAC
ensembl:ncRNA W03G11.13 ncRNA